AGGGCUGACGGAGCUUCGCCCGGGAGCGCGGAGCUCGGGCUGUGGGCAGGGCGGGCCGGCGGCCCGGCUGCGGAGCGCCCGGCUUCCCGCCCCCGCUGCGGCGUGUCGGCAGCUGCCCGGGGGCCCCCAGCGACCGGCCCGGGCCCGCGGCGCUGGGUGGCAGGAACCUCGGAGGCUCCCGGUAGUUAAACUCUAAUGACGCGAGUAGGAAAAUUCGAGCGCAGGGUUGUGACUGAAGAGAAACGUGGCUUACAGUUGCUGAGGAAGGAAGCUGAAACUUAGGAUACAGUGUUUGAGAAAUCCUUUACGCAUGCUAGGGAAGAAGGAAGUGCAUGUGUGAGUCCCCAUCUGUCACAGAGCUCCAGAAGAGCUGAGACUGGAAGCAUGCAAGGCUCCUUCUUCAUGUCUGAAGAACGCCUCAACUGCCUCUUCUUCCUGAUGAGGCAGUCUCCACCAGACAUGCACAACAAUAUCUUCCAUGUGUCCUGUCUUUCCAUGCUCUCCAAGGAAGUGGUAUGGUAACCUGAAUCUUGACCCACCAAAGCUUGGUUUGUGUUAUCUUCAACCAGCUGAGCUCUGCUGAUACUCCUGUGCUCGAUAUAGGAUACAUGGUGUGUGUUCUUACUCCCCCAUCACUGCCUCUACUGUUGCCUCGUCUAGACCAAAGGUUUUGCAGGUACCAGUUCUGCCUUGAGAGAUGCUUACAAAGCAAUGGGUAUACAUACUACAACAUGUAUAUUUAAUUCACAGUGAAAGCUGAUGACUGUGAUGUUUUUGAAACAGGAAGUAUGAAGCUUAAUUCUUCUGUGUGAUCUC